AAGGGAGGUGGAGGUGGCAGGGGGCUGUGUCAGGGCUCCUGGGGUCAAGGAGAAGGCCUUCUUGUUCUAUUAGUUCCCAAGAGAGCUGGUUGUUGAAAAAAGCCUGACACCUCCCCCAUCUCUCUCUUGCUUCCCCUUUUGAGAAAAAAAGAAAAAGAAAAGAAAACACAUGAACAGAAUCAUCUCUCACAAGGGCUUCUGGAGACAGCGUGUGAAAAAAAUCAUCUCUCACAACUGCUUCUUUGCUCCUUACUUUUGCAGGAGGCUUCCACCCCGCAGGGGCACCCACCCCUGAUAUACCAGCACCAGCUCCAUCAGCCCCUGGCUGCAGUAGGGCUUACCCUAAUGACCUUA
rnacentral:lncRNA from 1 species